UCUAACAUGUGCGCGAGUCACUGGGAUCAAGUCUAAACCCAGAGGCGCAGUGAAAGCGUGGGGCUCGCACGGCAUAAAGCCGCUGCGAGCCGCUAAGGGAGGACGGCCGGUCGUUUCCCGAACGGUGCGGCCGGCCAGCACUCCCGGGGCGCCUCGGCUCCGGCCGCAGGCGCACCCGGAGCGCACACGUUGGGACCCGAAAGAUGGUGAACUAUGCCCGGCCAGGACGAAGUCAGGGGAAACCCUGAUGGAGGUCCGCAGCGAUUCUGACGUGCAAAUCGAUCGUCAGAGCUAGGUAUAGGGGCGAAAGACUAAUCGAACCAUCUAGUAGCUGGUUCCCUCCGAAGUUUCCCUCAGGAUAGCUGGCGCCGAGAUGGACUGGGACAGUCUCAUCCGGUAAAGCGAAUGAUUAGAGGCCUUGGGGCCGAAACGACCUCAACCUAUUCUCAAACUUUAAAUGGGUGAGAUCUCCGGCUUGCUUGAGCGAAGCCGCGAGAACACGGAUGAUGGUGCCAAGUGGGCCAAUUUUGGUAAGCAGAACUGGCGCU
rnacentral:rRNA from 1 species